rnacentral:rRNA from 1 species
GACGAACGCUGGCGGCGUGCCUAAUACAUGCAAGUCGAACGGAAAGGCCCUGUUCUUGUGCGGUGCUCGAGAGGCGCACGCGUGAGUAUCACGUGAGUAAACUGCCCCUGUCUUUGGGAUACCAUCAGGAAAAUGGGGCUCAUAUCGGACAUGAGCUCCUGAAGCAUGGUGGGGGAUGGAAAGUUUCGGCGGUUCGGGAUGGACGUGCGGCUUAUCAGCUUGUUGGUGGGGUAGUGGCGUAACAAUGCUUUGACGGGUAGCCGGCCUGAGAGGGUGACCGGGCACAAUGGGACUGGGAAGCGGCCCGGACUGCAACGUGAGGCAGCGGUGGAGAAUAUUGCGCGAUGGGCGGAGGCCGGAAACAGCAAUGUCGGGUGCGAAAUGACGGCUUGCGGGGUAGAAACCGCUUUCGCCUGGAAAGAAGCGUGAGUGACGGUAAUGAGUAAGGAAGCAACGGCUAACUACGUG